UCUAUCAAUCACACUACUGUGGCCACAAAUUCUUAGACUUAGCUUUUUAAAUUUCAUAGGACUACUUUCUAAUAAAGUUGAUAGAUCCCAUCUUGAUGUACACCUACUCCUACAGUGGAUCAACUGUCAUCAAUAUCCACUACAAGGGCUCAUUGAGAAUCAUAUUUAUGUAUCAAUCAAACUCCAGCAGCCUCACUACGAACAGCAAUACCAUCUC
rnacentral:lncRNA from 1 species